rnacentral:rRNA from 1 species
GAUGAACGCUGGCGGCGUGCCUAAUACAUGCAAGUCGAGCGAACGGACGAGAAGCUUGCUUCUCUGAUGUUAGCGGCGGACGGGUGAGUAACACGUGGAUAACCUACCUAUAAGACUGGGAUAACUUCGGGAAACCGGAGCUAAUACCGGAUAAUAUUUUGAACCGCAUGGUUCAAAAGUGAAAGACGGUCUUGCUGUCACUUAUAGAUGGAUCCGCGCUGCAUUAGCUAGUUGGUAAGGUAACGGCUUACCAAGGCAACGAUGCAUAGCCGACCUGAGAGGGUGAUCGGCCACACUGGAACUGAGACACGGUCCAGACUCCUACGGGAGGCAGCAGUAGGGAAUCUUCCGCAAUGGGCGAAAGCCUGACGGAGCAACGCAGCGUGAGUGAUGAAGGUCUUCGGAUCGUAAAACUCUGUUAUUAGGGAAGAACAUAUGUGUAAGUAACUGUGCACAUCUUGACGGUACAUAAUCAGAAAGCCACGGCUAACUACGUG